CAGUAUCAGCAGCUGACAACAAUGUCAUCACCAGCAGUGAAGAAAUGAAUGAUGUUUCAGAAGUACCUGACUAUGCCGGACUUUUGUGCAGCAUACGGAUGCUCUAAUCACGGCAGUCUGCAAACAAGAACCCGUGGGAUUACCUUUCACGUGUUUCCCAAAACCGAAGAGAGGAGGAGGCAGUGGGAACUCGCCCUAAGAAGGGACGUUUUUUUUUCCUGUGACAGGACACUGCUCUGCAGUGAGCACUUCAGGAGUGAGGAAUUUGAUCGGACAGGGCAGACUAAUGGCGAAUCGCUACCACUAGGAGCAUAUAUCGCCACCUGCUAUGUAUUUAUUAAAUCUUCAUGUUCCAUGAGACGCAGCACUAUGUUCCCCACAUAUGUUUAUGUUUGCUCAGUCUAAUAAACCCAUAACAUGGUUGUGAAAGAAUACCAAAGCUGA